CUCGAGUCACCCUUUCUCGGGCAGUGCCGGAGCGGACUCUGUGACACCUGGAAGGAGCCACGGUCAGGCCGGGCUGCCAGGCUCGACAGGAGGGGCAGGAUCAGGCGGGAAGGGGUUGGGGCGGCGAAGGCCGGGAGCGCCGGGCAGUGGUCCCCCGAGUGGCUCCGAAACCCCCGCGAUGCGACCCCCAACGAGCACCGAUGCCGGGGCGGGAGCCCGCGCGGGCCGGGGUCGUGCAGUCUCACCGACAGCCAGCGUGAUGAAGGCCACCUGGAUGAAGAGCGACAGCCAGCUCAGCAGGUACAUGAACCACAUGGCGCCCCCACCCGCCCGCUCCCCGGCCACCGGGACGGGCCUGCGCGCUUCGGCUCCGGCGACACACAGCCGCCACCGCCGCCGCCGCCGCCGCGUCCCCGCCCCGCGGACGACAGGACGACGGUGCGCCGCCGCCGAGAGGAGCCCGGCCCUAGCGCUGCCCGGGGCCAGGCUCGCGCUAGCGCCGCCCGCCGGAGAGGAGGGCCAACCGCCGCUGCCCCGCCAGGAUCCCCCGCUCCACUGAGGGGAAUGAAUGCAGACCGCUGCAGCCAGAGGGAGGCGGGACGGUGCCCAGGGGCGGAGACGACCAAGCGCCCAUACUGGGGCUCGGAGUGCAGCCUCCAGUCCCUCCCUGUGCACUCCCGUACCAGCCUGGAGGUGGUCCAGGGCCGGACAGGGCCGCCCGACCGCGCCCCAGCAACCUCCCCAGAACCUGCCUCCCGGCAGGUUGCGGACAAGUCUGUCUCUUGCUAUCGCAGGUGAUAGGGACAAAAUUAUUGAAUUCCUAAUAUGUGCCACGCUCUGUGAUAAAGGCGAGGUGUGUUCUUGUCGGAAAUUUGAGCAGAUAAUGUAAAUCAUUUUAUAGACGGGGAAGCCGGGGCCAAAGGAAGUUGCCCUGGGUCAUGCACCUAGGAAGCGGCACAAUCAGGAGUUGGGGUGAUUUUAAUCGGUCAUCCUCCGGCCUAAUUCCCCUCUAGGCUGUUCUUUUGGGGUACAUUCUGCACCUUUGUAUCGCCUGCACCUCACCCCUUGCCGGGCACGCAGGGCGUCCGCUAGGCGCUGGAUGCAUUUACUACACCUCUGGGAGGGUUCCUGAGGGGCACCUGGAACCGGUUAGUCCUUGUCAACAAGUCUCCCAUCUAGUGGCGGAGACAGGCAUGCAAAAUAAAGUAUGUAGAACAAGA
rnacentral:lncRNA from 1 species